rnacentral:rRNA from 1 species
UACGAAGGGGCUAGCGUUGCUCGGAAUCACUGGGCGUAAGCGCGCGCAGGCGGUCCUUUAAGUCUGAUGUGAAAGCCCACGGCUCAACCGUGGAGGUCAUUGGAAACUGGGGAACUUGAGUGCAGAAGAGGAAAGUGGAAUUCCAAGUGUAGCGGUGAAAUGCGUAGAGAUUUGGAGGAACACCAGUGGCGAAGGCGACUUCUGGUCUGUAACUGACACUGAGGCGCGAAAGCGUGGGAGCAACAGGG